UACGUAGGGGGCAAGCGUUGUCCGGAUUUAUUGGGCGUAAAGGGCGCGUAGGCGGCCGGAUAAGUCUGAUGUGAAAUCCCUCGGCCCAACCGGGGAACUGCAUUUGAAACUGUUCGGCUCGAGUCCGGGAGAGGGUAGUGGAAUUCCCAGUGUAGCGGUGAAAUGCGUAGAUAUUGGGAGGAACACCGGUGGCGAAGGCGGCUCGCUGGGACGUUACUGACGCUGAGACGCGAAAGCGUGGGGAGCAAACAGG
rnacentral:rRNA from 1 species